CAAACGGAGGAAGGCGGGGAGUGACGUCAAAUCAUCAUGCCCUUUAUGUCCUGGGCUACACACGUGCUACAAUGGCCUGUACAAAGGGCAGCAAAGGGGCAACCGGAGCAAUCCCAAAAACAAGGUCUCAGUUCGGAUUGCAGGCUGCAACUCGCCUGCAUGAAGUCGGAAUCGCUAGUAAUCGCAGGUCAGCAUACUGCGGUGAAUACGUUCCCGGGCCUU
rnacentral:rRNA from 1 species